rnacentral:rRNA from 1 species
GAUGAACGCUAGCGACAGGCUUAACACAUGCAAGUCGAGGGGAAACGCCAUCGAAAGCUUGCUUUUGCUGGGCGUCGACCGGCGCGCGGGAGAGUAACGCGUAUCCAACCUGUUCAUCACUUGGGAAUAACAUUGCGAAAGUAAGACUAAUACACAAUGAUAUCCCACGAAGGCAUCGGAAUGGGAUGCAAGUUUUAUCGGUGAUGGAUGGGGAUGCGUCUGAUUAGCUUGUUGGCGGGGUAACGGCCCACCAAGGCAACGAUCAGGAGGGGUGCUGAGAGGAAGCUACCCUAGAUUGGAACUGGGGCCCGGCCCAAACUGCUACGGGAGGGAGCAGUGCGGAAGACAGGGGAAUGGAGGAGGGCCUGAACCAGCCAAGUAGGGUGCAGGAAGACGGCGCUAUGGGUUGUAAACUGCUUUUAGAAGAGAACAAAGUGGGUCACGUGUGACUUUUUGCAUGUACCUUAUGAAUAAGGACCGGCUAAUUCCGUG